rnacentral:lncRNA from 1 species
GGGGUGUGGGAGGGUACGGUCGGGGUGGCGGGGGGGAGGGAGCAGAUCAGAGGAGCUUAGCUUAGUCAGAGCCAGAGGCUUCCCCAUUCUACCUGGGGCUCUGGGGCAGCCCCCCACCAGCUUCCUGGGCAUCUCAGUUCCCACAGUGUAAUUUGGGGGCGAAAAAGUGGGUGUUGUGGGCAUAGCUAUAGGCAAGUGUGCUGCCUGGCACCUCCUGGGAGCUCAGGUUUUUGGAGCUGGGACGGCUAUCAGCAGGGUUCCCUGUGCCCUCUGACCCCUCCUCUCCCAGAACCAAAGCCUAUCCCUCGGGCUGACCUGGAUUCAUGGAGGGCUGUUCUCUGCUCCCGUGCAGGCCACAGAGGGCCAGUUGGACUAGGAUGAAGGACGGGGCUUCUGGGAGCUGUGGGUUCCCCUCCCCCUGCGGCUCUUCAUGGGUUCCCAGAGUCAGGCCCACCCUGCCUUCAGCGCCUCUCACAGGCACCAUGUGCCUGCUAAGAGGCUAAGGCUCUCAGACCAUGUGCAGACUUUUCAUUUAUUCAUUCAAUCAUUGACUUACAGCCAGAUGCCCUGGUAAGGCUGGGGCUCCUGAACUUACAGUCACACAGUGCGAGCUGAAGUGAAGGCUGUUUGUUCCCGCACACCUGCAGCUUCCAGAGCAUCUUACUCUGCCCUCCCCUUUCCCUCCCCCCCCAGGGUCCCAGUGCUUGGAGCUCAGUGAAUGAAAGAAUGAAUGAAUGAAGAGGGCUGAGUGAGUUGAAAGUGACCCUGGGAUCCCUGAAGGCUGAUCUCAGCCCUAGAAACGGGGGAGGGGAGGUCCAGGUGACCUUCCAGGCUGUGGCCAUGGGCCCACAGCCCUGUGCUGAGCGUCCUAUCCUUUACCUGUCCCCACCCUGCAUCCAGCAGCCUGUGCCAAGUGACAGGGAUGCAGCAAUGAGCAAACCACCCAGAUGCCCUGAUGUGCAACGCACGAUUUGGAAAAGGGAAGACCACUUGCUCAGGGCUGGAGCUGUUUAUCAUCGCUCCAACUUUCACUAAAAAGGAAAAACUAUCACUUAAACAAAGCCAUUGAAAACUCAGCAUCAUAUGUGGAUUUCUUAACAUAAAUAAAUCAUACAAACCAAGAUUUAUGUUCUCCCA